CCUACGGGAGGCAGCAGUAGGGAAUCUUCCACAAUGGACGCAAGUCUGAUGGAGCAACGCCGCGUGUGUGAAGAAGGGUUUCGGGUUGUAAAGUACUGUCGGUAGUGAGGAAAGUUAGAGGUAGUAACUGGUCGUUAUUUGACGGUACUUGCUUAAGAAGCAACGGCUAACUACGUGCCAGCAGCCGCGGUAAUACGUAGGUGGCAAGCGUUGUCCGGAUUUACUGGGCGUAAAGCGAGUGCAGGCGGUUCGAUAAGUCUGAUGUGAAAGCCUUGGGCUCAACCUGGGAAUUGCAUCAGAUACUGGUGAGCUUGAGUGCCGUAGAGGGGAGUAGAACUCCAGGUGUAGCGGUGGAAUGCGUAGAGAUAUGGAGGAACACCAGUGGCGAAGGCGGCCCUCUGGACUACGACUGACGCUGAGGCUCGAAAGCAUGGGGAGCGAACAGGAUUAGAUACCCCUGUAGUC
rnacentral:rRNA from 1 species